rnacentral:rRNA from 1 species
UACGUAGGGGGCUAGCGUUGUCCGGAUUUAUUGGGCGUAAAGAGCGUGUAGGCGGCCAGGUAGGUCUGCUGUGAAAACUCGAGGCUCAACCUCGAGAUGUCGGCGGAAACCAUCUGGCUAGAGUCCGGAAGAGGAAAGUGGAAUUCCUGGUGUAGCGGUGAAAUGCGCAGAUAUCAGGAGGAACACCUGCGGUGUAGACAGCUUUCUGGACCACUUCUGACGCUGAGACACGAAAGCGUGGGUAGCAAACAGG